UCGAUGUUAACUAUAUGAAUUAAAUACGAAUAAUUACAAUUCUUAAAAUGCCGACUUUUGGAAUAUUAUUCAUAACGAUUAUUUGACAGUUGACCUCCACCGUUUCUACUCAAGUUACUAACCUAGAAAACCGAUAUAUAAACAUAUGAUAUUGAUUAACUUAAUAAUACAUCGAACUAGAGAACUAUUUUUGGCAAUGGGAUCAAUUAUAGUCGAUGAUAUGAAGAAUAAAAACAGGAUUCAAAUCAAGAACAUCCUCUUCAUAUUUCUUUUUCUCUGGAAAACAUUAGAUUGCAAUGUUUUGUUGAAAAUAAAAACCGAAAACAACGAUACAAAGAAUGCGUCGAAAUCGUUUGUUGAGGUUGUAGGAAUAAAUUUAGAAAACUGGGGAUUUGUUUACAUCCCAUUGUUCGAAAGUACUUUGGAUUUGUUGCGUACUUGCUAUUUAAUGGACUUUAAGUAACUCGAUAUAAAAGGAUCAAUUGCAUCCUCAUUUUUGUGUACUUAAUAUCAAGAAGUAAUAUUUAGUUAGAUUCUUUAUUGAAAAAUAAGUCGCUAAAUUUAUAAUUUCAGUCUUGAAGGAAAUUAUAGGUAUAUAAAAAAGACGAGACAUUUAAUAACGGAAGGAAAUGAAAAGGAAAUAACAGCCAACAAACGAAGAAAAUGUAAGAAUAUUGGAAAAAAAGAAGAGGAGAAUCCUGGGACACAUUAAAAUUCAUGAUUUACUAAAUAAAGAA